rnacentral:rRNA from 1 species
UGGGGGAUAUUGCACAAUGGGCGAAAGCCUGAUGCAGCGACGCCGCGUGGGGGAUGAAGGCCUUCGGGUUGUAAACUUCUUUUGCUCUGAACAAGGCGCACCAUGGGGUGUGUAGAGUGUAGGGGUUGAUUAGCGCCGGCUAACUACGUGCCAGCAGCCGCGGUAAUACGUAGGGCGCGAGCGUUGUCCGGAAUUAUGGGGCGUAAAGGGCUUGUAGGUGGCUGGUUGCGUCUGUCGUGAAAGCUCAUGGCUUAACUGUGGGUUUGCGGUGGGUACGGGCUGGCUUGAGUGCAGUAGGGGAGGCUGGAAUUCCUGGUGUAGCGGUGGAAUGCGCAGAUAUCAGGAGGAAUACCGGUGGCGAAGGCGGGUCUCUGGGCUGUUACUGACACUGAGGAGCGAAAGCAUGGGGAGCGAACAGG